rnacentral:misc_RNA from 1 species
UCCGGUUUAUCACCGGCAGUCUGCCUAGAGUCCCCAACUAAAUGAUGGUAACUAGGCACAAGGGUUGCGCUCGUUACGGGACUUAACCCAACAUCUCACGACACGAGCUGACGACAGCCAUGCAGCACCUGUCUCUUAGUUCCCGAAGGCACAACCGCAUCUCUGCAGUCUCCUAAGGAUGUCAAGGGUAGGUAAGGUUCUUCGCGUUGCAUCGAAUUAAACCACAUGCUCCACCGCUUGUGCGGGCCCCCGUCAAUUUCUUUGAGUUUUAGCCUUGCGGCCGUAUUCCCCAGGCGGAGUACUUAAUGCGUUAGCUUCGCUACCGAAUGGCUUCGCCACCCAACAGCUAGUACUCAUCGUUUACAGCGUGGACUAC